AUUGAACGCUGGCGGCAUGCCUUACACAUGCAAGUCGAACGGUAACAGGUCUUCGGAUGCUGACGAGUGGCGAACGGGUGAGUAAUACAUCGGAACGUGCCCGAGAGUGGGGGAUAACGAGGCGAAAGCUUUGCUAAUACCGCAUACGAUCUCAGGAUGAAAGCAGGGGACCGCAAGGCCUUGUGCUCACGGAGCGGCCGAUGGCAGAUUAGGUAGUUGGUGGGAUAAAAGCUUACCAAGCCGACGAUCUGUAGCUGGUCUGAGAGGACGACCAGCCACACUGGGACUGAGACACGGCCCAGACUCCUACGGGAGGCAGCAGUGGGGAAUUUUGGACAAUGGGCGCAAGCCUGAUCCAGCCAUGCCGCGUGCAGGAUGAAGGCCUUCGGGUUGUAAACUGCUUUUGUACGGAACGAAAAGACUUCUUCUAAUAAAGGGGGUCCAUGACGGUACCGUAAGAAUAAGCACCGGCUAACUACGUGCCAGCCGCCGCCGUAAGAC
rnacentral:rRNA from 1 species